GAGAGAGACAGAGAGAGGGAGAGAGAGGGAGAGAGAGAGAGAGAGAGAAAGGCACCACAUAUGGAAGAAAGAAAAGGUGUUGACUGUAAAAGAUAUAAGAGAAAGAAGGCAAGAAAGAAAGUCUUGUUUUGUUUUUUUGCUCCCUCGUUGACCCGGUUUGGCAGAGGGUGGACAGAAAAGCGAGCACAGCCCUCCAGCACAAACAGGAGACGCUGCUCCAUCCUGGACUCAACUCAGGAGCGCACAAGACCAGAUUCUGGAGCAACGGCCGAGCUGUGAGAGGGGUCCCGUCCACGGACGAGAUUCUCACCCACUCCUCCAAAAUCAGAAUGAAAACAAGUCCUACAGCAGAGACAUCUAUACUGGAGACAGGACAGAGAAUCUGGUCAUGUGCCUAUCUCCUCCUCACCAUGGCUCCGCUGAGACCAAGAGAGGAAGGAGAUAAAACACACAAGCUGGAGGACAGCAGCUUGGCUCCAGGUUCCAGUGCAAACACUGUACUUCCCUUCAAAGAGACGGACAGGUAGACACCUGGAUAUUAUGCUAAACCCCUUCCCCAGUGUGUCCUUCCUUACAUCUGCUGACAUAUUUAACUUGCAAAUGGUGACUGUUAUUCAGCAAAUGUACACAAAAAAAAGCAUGAAGCCGUCCAUGCGGUGGCUCCUCUGGACCCUGACCCCUGGGUCACAGCAUCCAAGCACCACUUCAGCCCACGCCAGUGUCACAUGUGUGAAGACAGAUGAGAGGGUUUGAUGAUCAGGCUCAGCUCGCACUGACUCACCCACAGACAGGACAGAAAUGAAGCCAUCGCACACGCACGCUGACAGCCUUUUCCCAUCAGGCCUUUGUUGUGCUCCCCAGCGAUGAUGAUCUCACCACAUAGCAGAGCUAAGCCUCAGUAAGCAGACAGGCAGCGCGUCAAUACGUCAUCAGUCAGUCAGCCAGUCAGUCACCCAGGAGCCGACCCGUCUGUUAACUAAUUAUUAAAACUGACAGUUUGGCAGGUUGCAUUGCCAAGUUGGUCAUGUUUAAUGCCUCUGUUUGUCUGUUACUGUUCUCAUGCAGGAUCACAGUGAAG